rnacentral:rRNA from 1 species
UCCAGAGGGUGCGAGCGUUAAUCGGAAUUACUGGGCGUAAAGCGUGCGUAGACGGUUAUGUAAGUCAGAUGUGAAAGCCCCGGGCUCAACCUGGGAAUUGCAUUUGAGACUGCAUAGCUAGGGUGCGGAAGAGGGAAGCGGAAUUUCCGGUGUAGCGGUGAAAUGCGUAGAUAUCGGAAGGAACACCAGUGGCGAAAGCGGCUUCCUGGUCCAGCACCGACGUUCAGGCACGAAAGCGUGGGGAGCAAACAGG